UAUCUCUGGCUUCUGGUCAAUAGUGCAAAUUUUUCGCCUUUUACUAAAAAUUUCCAUGGCCAGGAGCACUAAAUGAGUCUAUAGACUAAUUUUUACAAGUUUCGUCUUCGGAUGGAACA
rnacentral:snRNA from 1 species